UGCAGUGGAAAAAGUAACAGCCUGUAACUGGGAUUUGGUUCAGGAGGAGCAGAACGGAAUCACCAAGAAGACCGGAGGUUGUUUCAGCAGGAAUUAUAAUACUUCCGACUGUCUUGGCAUCACAUUCAUCACAUUGUUAUUUCUGAGAAAACAAAUGAAGUGGAAGUGGUACCAUCGAAGUGGGUCAACGGAGAACAGUGUAUGUGGCCACCAAACAAAGUGGAUGUUGUUAAAGCAACAAAGAGCCAGGAAAAACCUGGAGCAGGCUGGAAAACAUAUGUUCCGAGUUAUAUUCACAUCAAGCGAGGCUAAAGCUUCCAGAAGCUGCUGAACACACUGACCUUGGGACAGAUUCUCCAAUUAAACCCAAAAGGAGAAGAACUGACAGUUGAGGAGGGCUGGUGAGCGGACGUGACAGCCGAGCGGGAGUGCCUGUGUCCCGAGCGUGUGCCGAAACCACAGUGAACUGUUAUAAU